rnacentral:lncRNA from 1 species
UUUUAAUUUUUUAAUAGUUAUUACUCAAUGAAAACAAUAAAUUAUGCUCUAUGAUAAGAAAAAAUUUAACUAUAAAAUAAUUGUAAACAAAAUUUGAUGAUAAAACUCACUAAAUGUAUUUUAGGUAGUGAAUGUACCAAGUAUUUCAAUCAUCCAUAGUUUCUAGAUAACAAUGAUUUAUUAGGUUACAAUCUAAUUUAAAACAAAUAAUAUUGAAUUAACUAAGUAGUAUUUUGAUUGCAUCAUCACAACAAAAUAAAAAGUUUGUGUGGUAUUUCAGAACACUGCUGACAUAUUUAGAACCUUAUAAAAAGUAUUACAAUUUUAAAAUAAGUUAAUUGUUAAUAAUUGUAUAUUUUUAUUUAUAUAAAACCUUAUCGAUGGCAAAAAAAUAUUAUUUAUAGAAAAAUAAUUUAUAGCAAUGUGCAUAAAAAUGGAAUACCUAUCAUAAGACAAAUAAAACACAAUUAGGUAUAUAAUAACAAAUUAAGAAUAAAAGAUAACAUGAAAAACAGCCAACAACAUUUGUGUCGGCUGAUGUCAAAACAAAAUGUCAUUUGUAAUGAACACAAUAUGCAGGAGUGUAUUAUCGUCAAAAAUAAUAUUGUACUUAUAGAUUUUGAUAAUUGAAAAAAAAAAACAAAACUUCCUAUACUUAAAAAAAAACAAGACACCAAUUAUUGCAUACUAUUAAGCGUAUACUGUCAUGACACCAAAACAAUUAAAAAUUUAAAUAUUCAAUUCACUCUUUUGUAGAGCUUGAUAUUUAAAAAACCCGUCACCGGGCAAUGGGGGUAACAAGAAAGACGGAAACCAGACUUUGUAUGUAAAAAACCAUGUACCCAUCGCCACCAGGCCAGCCAACAAUUUUUCCGGCAUCGUGUGGAAGUACAUCAUAGUGGUGAUGAGCAUCAGCUCCCAGACAGCUACAAACAACGUUAUGACAAUAAAAAACACUUGAGCAUAUGGAGUAAUUCGGCCAUAAAUAGUUUUCAGAGUCUGCAGUUCAUUUUCGUUCAGACUGCUAAACGUGGUGGCUACCCGUCUGCCUUCUGUGCGAGCGUUUUCCUCUUUGCGCAGCACGUCUUGUAUCUUGUCCCAGCCUAUGAUCGGUCUCGCUUCGCUGAUCAUCACCAAAGUGCUGUAUAUCAAUAUGAAUACAUGGCCGGAGAUGUCGAAUGACUUCCACACGUUGCCAGCAGACUUGCACGUUGUCCGCGUGUGUCCGACGCCUUUACUGCACUUACCGUAAUAUUCCUCCAGCCAAUUGAAACCAGACGUCCAAAAGUACCAGAAGAACGUGGCCACCGCCAGACGGGACGCGUGCUUUAAGACAGACGGCCUGGAGUCAAGACAAAACACCUUGCUGGUAGCUACCAAAAACAACAGGGUCCAUACCAGCGUCCAGAACCAACCCAAUUUCACCAGGUACUGGUUGAGGAACGUGUUGCUGUUGGCGAAAUAGAUUUUCGGGAAUUUCGCGAAAUCGCCGAUCACCGACGCGAUCAACAGGAUCAGGUACACGAACAGUCGUUUGUUCGUAGAGAAAAACAUGUAUUUCCGGCACACGAACAGGAACACCGUCAGGAAAAUGCUGAACACGGUUGUCGGUUCCCUGACUAACAGCGUACCUUUGGCCUCGGAUCGCAGAUUCAGACUCGAAGGUAUAUAAUUCGUUUCGACGGAUCCCGCCCGGGACGUGUUCCUCUUAGAAGUCAUAUUAAUUUUAAUAUAAUUGUAUCGGUUGAACGGUAUGGUUCCGCUCGAAUUCGAAAAUUACAUUAAUUAAUUAAUGUGUGUAUAAAUUAUAGUGAAAAAAAAAAUGAUUAUUACCGACGAAACGUCACAUCCUUUUUGUGUUUGAAUAAAAUGUAUACGAAUAAUAGGAAUUCACAAUUCAUUACUCAAUUUAUUCAACUGCUUAUAAUAUUGUAACUUUCACUAUUACGGACGUACAACAUACUUCUGAAUAAUUUAAUCAAGUUGUCAAAUUCUUAUCAGAUAGUAGUUUAAACGA